rnacentral:rRNA from 1 species
GACGAACGCUGGCGGCGUGCUUAACACAUGCAAGUCGAACGGAAAGGCCCUGCUUUUGUGGGGUGCUCGAGUGGCGAACGGGUGCGUAACACGUGAGUAACCUGCCCUUGACUUUGGGAUAACUUCACGAAACUGGGGCUAAUCCCGGAUAGCAGCUCCUGCUGCAUGGUGGGGGUUGGAAAGUUUCGGCGGUUGGGGAUGGACUCGCGGGUUAUCAGCUUGUUGGUGGGGUAGUGGCUUACCAAGGCUUUGACUGGUAGCCGGCCUGGGAGGGUGACCGGGCACAAUGGGACUGAGAUACGGCGCAGACUGCUACGGGAGGCAGCAGUGGGGAAUAUUGCACAAUGGGAGGAAGCCUGAGGCAGCGACGCCGCGUGCGGGAUGACGGCCUUCGGGUUGUAAACCGCUGUCGCCUGUGACGAAGCGUGAGUGACGGUAAUGGGUAAAGAAGCACCGGCUAACUACGUG